GGUCUGUGCAGACAGCCAAUAAAGGCUAAUAUGAUUUUACACACAAAUGAAUCAUUUCAAGGAAUGAAUUGCCCCGAACAAGCCUGGACGUGGCCACGCUCCUGUCCUGAGGAGCAGGGGGAGGCAUUCCCUGCUGAUCCACAGAGAGCUCAAUUAAGGAAGAGAAGUCCUGGUUUUUGCAGGCUGAGCCUGUGGGUUUGCAGCCCUUGGCUCAGGCAGUAAGGCCAAUGUCAAGAGCCUGACUGGCCCCAGGCACAGUGCAAGGCUGGGUGGCCCAGGCUCUCUCACCCUUGCUCUGACACUGGAGGCUGUGUGGCCUUGGAGAAUUUAUGCUUCCUCUCAGUGCCCCUCUUAAAACAAGGAUCCUGACACUGUGUUCCUUUGUAAAAAUGCCCUCGGAGCUCACAAAGAGAAGUGCUGCAUCACAGAGAGUUAUUGCUCCAUCUCAUUCCUUCCCUGCCCUGCUCAGGUAAUAUCUGAGCAUCUCCUAGACCUGCACCAGGCAAUAUGACUCAUGUCUCUCAUAUGUGGCUCCUCUACGAUCCCCAAAGGGGAAAUGAGAUUCAGAGUAAAACCCACCUUUCCACAACCUCAGUAUUGCCUCUGCUGUGCUGAGACCUCCUUGUCUCCCUACAAGGCACCUACUCACCAGCACCAGGCAUGGAUGGAGCCUGCAGCACAACAGUUAACGUGCCCUAGGCCUGGAAAAACCAGCACAAGCUCCAGAUGGAUCAGGAAGGCACCCCAGACUGCCAGGAGAGGCUCACUCUGCUACGUCCCCACUCGGACCUGACUGAGAAACAACAACUCCUGAGUGGUUUGCUCCAAGCUGAUAAGACAGAAAUAGUCCUGUAUCUCACCAAGAAAUCACCACUGUUGGACUGAUGGACAGGGAACAACCCUGGUAGCCUUUCAUUGAAAUGGAGUUACUGGUGCACAUGAUGAAAAGCCUGGGAACACAUCCUGUUGGAACAGCCACCUGCUGAAGUCCCACAUGCUGAAGCAGGGAAGGAAGCAGGAUGAGGAUAGUUUGGUCCUGGAAAUGUAAUGGAGUGAGAGCUCUGCUUCAGACACACAACCACAGAUGGGUCUUACACACUUGUGUGUGGAGCAGCCCCUUUUCCCUGGAUAGCUGCAGAGUUCAGAGGUGGGAACUGGCCAUCUCCUGGCAGCCAAACCCACUGAAGCCAAGAACACCCCUGGCUUCAGUGAGCGCUGGCUCAAGCUUUCUAUAUUUCAGAUAUGAGUGGCUUUAAGCUGUUUUUCACAGUCUGUGUAUUGUUUCUCUUGCUCAAAUAAUUUAGCUUUAACCUGAGGCUGUGGGCUCAAUCCUUGCUGUCAAAGCCCAGUGUGUAGCUUUGCAUGCAGCUCCUGAGGGGAUGCGGGAGUACAGCAUGAAUCUCCUGGCUCCUUCAAAGUCUUGCAGAGCUGCUUUAUGUGUGUAGAAACAGGCAUAAAUAAAAAUAAAUCUGACAGGCUUUAGUCUGUGUU